AGUAGGUGGCGCUAAUACUCCUGAGGAGUGAACGACCAUUGAACAGAAAGAAGAAGAAGAAGAAGAAGAAGAAGAAGAAGUGUUGAAAUCGAAAGUAAACUCGAGAGUAAACGCGCAUUUUGAAGACUUAAAAUCCUUCUCUUCAGAUCUCAGAGCUGUCGAGGAGCUGAACUCGCAGCGCUGGCUGUAGCAGUGAUUCUCAUCGAGAGGAGAAGCUCUGGAUCGAGUUCACAGUAGGGGGCGGUAAUGCGCGAGAUUAGUGCGAUCCGCCAAAACAAAGAAGAAGAAGAAGUAGAGUGUUGUAACCAAAAAGAAAAACCGAAAGUAAACUCGAAAGUAAACUCGAGAGUAAACGCACAUGUUGAAGAGUUAAAAUCCUUCUCUUCAGAUCUCAGAGUUGUCGCAGACCUCAAAUCAGUUCUUCAUCAUGGAGAUCAGUGAUCUCCAGAUCCCAGCUGUGUGUCUCUGAAGAGUGACGCAUCCAUGAUGAAGCCUCCUAACCUCAGUGCUGAACCAGUGACCUCUGACCCCAGAGUCAGCAGGAGGAAGAGGAAGAUAU